UCAAAGUUUCUGCCCCUAGGAAGGCGCACCCAGGCCCCGCAGCGUACCAAAUCUGCUACUCCUCCGUCCCUGAGUCCCCCAGUGUCGCUCAGCCCUUGCCUCUCUCAGAGGACACGGUGACACAAAGGGUCAGAGAACUGGGAGCCUGCCGUGGAAGUUCACCCCUUUAAUCCGAGCUCUCGGGAGAUCGAUGCAGAAGAAUCAAGGUCCAAGCUACUAACGAAUGAAUGCUGAAGGCUUCCUCGUGGAAAGGACCAUUCCCGAAUAAUAAGCAGAACCAAGAUUCAGAGCCAGGGAACAUGUUAGCUGAACCUGGAUCCAUGAGUCAUCUGGUACAGAUGUUCAGGUCAAAUACUACCUGCAGAGACCAGUCACAUUUGGCCACAAUGGGGUGGAAUCGGCCACAUAUCCCUAACUCCGGAACGAGACCCUACUAAAUGCUGUUGGCCUCCUCUCUGGGCUUCUUCCCAAAGCGGAGCUGCUGAGCACCGACCUUGGCUGGCAGAGCGUGCCAGAGAAUUUGCCACAGCUCUGCUCUUUCCACGCUGCGCUGGACGGUCCUCGUCUGUGUCUGCGAUGCUGUCAGAGCAGUGAAGGAUUUUAAUGAUUCAGCACCGUGUGGCCUGGAUCAGGCCAUGGGUCUAACACAGCAUGGGGAUGGAUGGCAGCAGGUCACUUCUCUCUGCCACCAUCCCCCAGCCUCUGUAGUUGGCUCUUACAGAAGCUGACAGAUGCCCCAGGUCAGGGCGGGGGGGCAGAAAACGUGUCCCCCAGAGUAGCCUGAGCAUGGUCUCCUCCCUAUGUCCCUGCAAGCUGGGGACAGUGGCUGGAUUCCAGCCUCCUACAUGUGUUGCUUAUUUGGAAGAGGACAGCCUGUCUAAGGGUCAGAUGCCAUUAGAAGCACAACAUGUCCCCAGAAUUCGCAAGUCCCUUGUACUCUUCCUUGGGCCAUUGGCUCACUUGAGUGCAGGCUGAAGACAUUUAAUUUGUUCUGAAAAGUGCAGCCCCCCCCCCAACUACAGGCUUGCACAUUAGAAAAUGGGCCAGAUCCUGUAUUUCCACCAUACAGGCUUUUCUAGCAUCUUCCCCUAAAAGCAAAUUAGUGGUGUAUGGAAAUGAGCUGAGAGAAUUCAUUACAUUAAUUUAUCUAAUUUUGGAGGCAAACCUGAAAUAAACAUCACCUUGCUCUCUAACACUUAGCCCUCACAGUAUUGAUUUCUGAGUCACAUUAACCCCGUGCAAGGACCUUUUUAUAGCCCCAAAGGGCUGCGAUUGCCAGCCUCCUUGUGAAUAUAAAUGUCCUACUUAGAGGCCCUGAGACAUCUGUCUCCAAGGUCAUUUCAAGGGGUGGCAGGCACAGCGGGCUGUCCAAAGUUCACCCAUGCAUCCGCAGGCCAUACACACUGGAACUCCAUGCAGAGGCCAUCAAUUCUAACAAGAUCAAUGCUAAGAACCACAAGUAGUCCUAUCAGAGGAAGAGGUGGGACUGGGUCAUGUCAGGUUCCUGUCAGUAUUUACAGUAAUCGCCUAUGGAAUUAAGAGUCUGCCACCUUACUGUAUCUCUUCACGACCGAGACAGUCCAUGAGAGGGCUAAACCUACCUCAGAAGGAAACCCGCUGGCCCAGUAAUAGAUUUGCUAGCUCAUGUUUCUGAUUGGGCUAGGGGGACAUCUUCAGAAUGACACAUUUCUGACGGAUGGGAUGGGUCCGUGGUGAAAAGUGCUUGCUGCUAAGUCUGAUGCCCUGAGUUCAAUUCCCAGGAUUUGUGUGGUGAAGGAAGAGAAUCAGCUCCCUCGGGUUGUCUUCCAGUCUCUGUAUACAUGUAUCACAGAGCAUGACAGAGAGAAAGAGAACAAAUAGUAAAGAAGUCUAUACUUUUUUAAAUUAAAGAAGGAAGGGAAGGAAAAAGAAGAUCCAUUUGCCCAGCAAGACUUACGGUCCACCGCCCCCACCCUGAGUUGGUGCCGGCCAUUUUAGUGAACCCACUAAACAUGCCAGAGGAUGAAUGUCACCAAGCCUAACAACCUUCCCAACAAUUGUGCAAUCCUGGAAGCAGCCAAGGAGGGACUGGGCCCCAGGAACAUUCUCUUCCCCUAUGCUCUCUUUGCAGUUUCUGGGUACUGGGAUCUUCUGCCCCCCACCUAUGUCUCAGAUCUACAGGCUAGAUGUGAGGCAAACAUAGAGCUCCGGGCAGAGUCACUCACCUCCCGGCUCAGCCCAGACAUCCUUUACAGACUAGGACAGACUACCAACCUUUCAAUCCCCCACCACCCGAGAGUGGCCCAUCAAAGUGGGCUGCGGAACCCAUUUGAGCAGCUGGUAAUGGCGUGAUAGGGCAAACUGGAGAAAAACAAGAAGUAUGGUUUCCCUUUCUAGAAAGAGCUAGGGCUCUGGGGCAUCUUUGUAAAAGCUGCCAGAGACAGCUCUUAAAGAGAAGGGCUCAGGUGCGGAUGCUCCCUCUGACCACGGGUAUCACUCACUCUUAAAGAUGGCAGUGGAUUGGCUUGUCCAUUACUCAUCAUUCGUUCCCACUCUGUCCCGUGUUCAUUCUGGUCAAGGUCACAUAACCCCCUCUGGUCAAUGGAAUUUGGGGAUAAUCACAGGGUGGAGACAGUUCUGGCUCUCAGUCUAGUUCUUAAAGGGCAAGGCCUGCUUCCCUUACGCCUCCAGAAGCCCAGCCACUGUCCCAUCUCCCUGGGUCCCAGAUCAAAUCUGACACAUUGCCGCAUCUCAAUGUUCAGUGGACACUGUCAUCACCAGCAAGGGCCAUUUGGACAUUGAAGUCCUUCUGCACUGAGGCUGGGACACCGGGGGAAAUGGUGAAUGCAGUAGUGACUUCGACCUUGACUGCUGUCCACACCCUGUAACAUGAGGGCUGGCUUGUUGGGGUUUCUGUCCCACCCGGUACCCCACAGCCAUCAUACCCCAAGAAAAUCACCCACAAGACUCUAUAAGAUUAUAAACUGU